rnacentral:misc_RNA from 1 species
AGAAUUGAAUUCUUUCAUUCCAAACAUGAAAAGUGACAAAAAGAAAUCAAUUGAAUUGAAUUCUUGUAAAAUUCUAGUUUCCAUACAGGGGGAGUAUGUUCUAGUUUGAGCCUAACCUACAUCCUUUUUAUCUUUUGCAUUCUUUGAUUGAAUGGAAGUUAAGAGUCACAGCAGAAAUUUUGACCACUUGAGCUAGUUGCCCAAGGCUUUGAGAGAGUAUGUUUACUUAUAACAUAAUACUUUUUGUGAUAUCAUUUCUAUUCCGUUUCUUGGGCUGCCAGAAAGUCACCUUAUGUACACUUUCUUUGACUAGUGGCUCAUCUUCGUUGCUUUGUUGUUGUUGUUGUUGUUG